CGUUAAGGCAUCAUGGCCUGUACCCGAAACCGACGCAGGUGGGGUGGUAGAGAAUACCGAGGGGCGCGAGGUAACUCUCUCUAAGGAACUCGGCAAAAUGGCCCCGUAACUUCGGGAGAAGGGGUGCCAGCGAGAGCUGGUCGCAGUGAAGAGGCCCAGGCGACUGUUUACCAAAAACACAGGUCUCCGCUAAGUCGCAAGACGAUGUAUGGGGGCUGACGCCUGCCCAGUGCCGGAAGGUUAAGGAAGCUGGUCAGCGCAAGCGAAGCUGGCGACUGAAGCCCCGGUGAACGGCGGCCGUAACUAUAACGGUCCUAAGGUAGCGAAAUUCCUUGUCGGGUAAGUUCCGACCCGCACGAAAGGCGUAACGAUCUGGGCGCCGUCUCGGAGAGAGGCUCGGCGAAAUAGAAUUGUCUGUGAAGAUGCGGACUACGUGCACCCGGACAGAAAGACCCUAUGAAGCUUUACUGUAGCUUGGUAUUGUGCUCGGGCUCGGAAUGCGCAGGAUAGGUGGGAGGCUUGGAUCCAUUGCUUGCGGGUGAUGGUGAGCCACUGGUGAGAUACCACUCUUUUCGAGCUUAAGUUCUAACCCUUACCCGUUAUCCGGGGAGGGGACAGUAUCAGGUGGGCAGUUCGACUGGGGCGGUCGCCUCCUAAAAGGUAACGGAGGCGCGCAAAGGUUCCCUCAGGCUGGUUGGAAAUCAGCCGACGAGUGCAAAGGCAGAAGGGAGCUUGACUGUGAGACCUACAAGUCGAACAGGGACGAAAGUCGGCCUUAGUGAUCCGACGGUUCUGCGUGGAAGGGCCGUCGCUCAACGGAUAAAAGUUACUCUAGGAUAACAGGCUGAUCUCCCCCAAGAGUUCACAUCGACGGGGAGGUUUGGCACCUCGAUGUCGGCUCAUCGCAACCUGGGGCUGAAGUCGGUCCCAAGGGUUGGCUGUUCGCCCAUUAAAGCGGUACGCGAGCUGGGUUCAGAACGUCGUGAGACAGUUCGGUCCAUAUCCGGUGCACGCGCAGGAAUAUUGGGAGGAUUUCUCCCUAGUACGAGAGGACCGGGAGGAACGCACCUCUGGUGUGCCAGUUAUCGUGCCAACGGUAAACGCUGGGUAGCCAUGUGCGGAGAGGAUAACCGCUGAAAGCAUCUAAGUGGGAAGCCCACCUCAAGAUGAGUAUUCCCAUGGCAUAAGCCAGUAAGGUCACGGGAAGAUUACCCGUUGAUAGGCUCUACGUGGAAGCGCAGUAAUGUGUGAAGCGGAGGAGUACUAAUAGACCGAGGGCUUGACC
rnacentral:rRNA from 1 species